GAUGAACGCUGGCGGCGUGCCUAAUACAUGCCAGUCGAGCGAACAGACGAGGAGCUUGCUCCUCUGACGUUAGCGGCGGACGGGUGAGUAACACGUGGAUAACCUACCUAUAAGACUGGGAUAACUUCGGGAAACCGGAGCUAAUACCGGAUAAUAUAUUGAACAGCAUGGUUCAAUAGUGAAAGACGGUUUUGCUGUCACUUAUAGAUGGAUCCGCGCCGCUUUAGCUAGUUGGUAAGGUAACGGCUUACCAAGGCAACGAUGCGUAGCCGACCUGAGAGGGUGAUCGGCCACACUGGAACUGAGACACGGUCCAGACUCCUACGGGAGGCAGCAGUAGGGAAUCUUCCGCAAUGGGCGAAAGCUUGACGGAGCAACGCCGCGUGAGUGAUGAAGGUCUUCGGAUCGUAAAACUCUGUUAUUAGGGAAGAACAAAUGUGUAAGUAACUAUGCACGUCUUGACGGUACCUAAUCAGAAAGCCACGGCUAACUACGUG
rnacentral:rRNA from 1 species